rnacentral:rRNA from 1 species
UACGUAGGGUGCGAGCGUUAAUCGGAAUUACUGGGCGUAAAGCGUGCGCAGGCGGUGAUGUAAGACCGAUGUGAAAUCCCCGGGCUUAACCUGGGAACUGCAUUGGUGACUGCAUCGCUCGAGUAUGGCAGAGGGGGGUAGAAUUCCACGUGUAGCAGUGAAAUGCGUAGAGAUGUGGAGGAAUACCGAUGGCGAAGGCAGCCCCCUGGGUCAAGAUUGCACG